rnacentral:tRNA from 1 species
UCCGGGAUAGGCUAGUUCGGUCCAGACUGUAGGACUGUGGAUCCUACGACCCCGGUUCAAAUCCGGGUCCCGGAC